GCUCUUUUUUUUUUCUUUCUUUUUCUUCUUCCUUUUUUUUUUUUCUUCUUUUUUUUUUUUUUUUAAGGGAAAGAGAAACAAAUAAAAAGAAAUCGUCGAACGAUGGUAGGGUUCCCCGUCGAUGGCGAGCGCUUCCCUGGUAGCGGGUGGGCGACUAGCGUUUCCCCAUCGCGGCUAUACUCGACGUCCGAUAAAAAAUGUGCAGGUUGACCAAUUGCACAUAACUCAAGCUGCCUUUCCAGUUUCUCACGGACAUAUACGGACGCACACACUGAUGCAUAUUUACGUAUAUGCGAUAGCCUGCAGUCUCCUCGGGCCCUCCUGAAAUAAGGGUCCACAAUACGACAUAAAUUAAAUUUAUAUUAUAUAAUCAAUUUAAUUUAAUUUAAUUUAAUUUAAUUUAAUUUAAUUUAAUUUAAUUUAAUUUUAAUUUGAUAUUUGCCGGGCGGGCAUUACCAUACUAUAAUCUUUAUUCGUAUAUUUUUGUGAUUAUAUUAAUCGAAUUUAGGCCAAUGUAUGUAUUUUUCUCACUUCGUCGUUUGUUUGAACAAUUAAAGCGAAAGGAUCUAUAUUGCG